UACGAAGGGGGCUAGCGUUGUUCGGAAUUACUGGGCGUAAAGCGCACGUAGGCGGACAUUUAAGUCAGGGGUGAAAUCCCGGAGCUCAACUCCGGAACUGCCUUUGAUACUGGGUGUCUUGAGUGUGGAAGAGGUGAGUGGAAUUCCGAGUGUAGAGGUGAAAUUCGUAGAGAUGUGGAGGAACACCAGUGGCGAAGGCGACUCUUUGGCCUGUAACUGACACUGAGGCGCGAAAGCGUGGGGAGCAAACAGG
rnacentral:rRNA from 1 species